GAUGAACGCUAGCUACAGGCUUAACACAUGCAAGUCGAGGGGCAUCAGGAAGAAAGCUUGCUUUCUUUGCCGGCGACCGGCGCACGGGUGAGUAACACGUAUCCAACCUGCCCUUUACUCGGGGAUAGCCUUUCGAAAGAAAGAUUAAUACCCGAUGGCAUAAUGAUUCCGCAUGGUUUCAUUAUUAAAGGAUUCCGGUAAAGGAUGGGGAUGCGUUCCAUUAGGUUGUUGGUGAGGUAACGGCUCACCAAGCCUUCGAUGGAUAGGGGUUCUGAGAGGAAGGUCCCCCACAUUGGAACUGAGACACGGUCCAAACUCCUACGGGAGGCAGCAGUGAGGAAUAUUGGUCAAUGGGCGGUAGCCUGAACCAGCCAAGUAGCGUGAAGGAUGAAGGCUCUAUGGGUCGUAAACUUCUUUUAUAUAAGAAUAAAGUGCAGUAUGUAUACUGUUUUGUAUGUAUUAUAUGAAUAAGGAUCGGCUAACUCCGUGCCAGCAGCCGCGGUAAUACGGAGGAUCCGAGCGUUAUCCGGAUUUAUUGGGUUUAAAGGGAACGUAGGUGGACUGGUAAGUCAGUUGUGAAAGUUUGCGGCUCAACCGUAAAAUUGCAGUUGAUACUGUCAGUCUUGAGUACAGUAGAGGUGGGCGGAAUUCGUGGUGUAGCGGUGAAAUGCUUAGAUAUCACGAAGAACUCCGAUUGCGAAGGCAGCUCACUGGACUGCAACUGACACUGAUGCUCGAAAGUGUGGGUAUCAAACAGG
rnacentral:rRNA from 1 species